rnacentral:rRNA from 1 species
GACGAACGCUGGCGGCGUGCUUAACACAUGCAAGUCGAACGGUGAACCUCUUCGGAGGGGAUCAGUGGCGAACGGGUGAGUAACACGUGGGCAACCUGCCCCCGGCUCUGGGAUAACUCCAAGAAAUUGGGGCUAAUACCGGAUGUUCACCGCUUCCCGCAUGGGUGGUGGUGGAAAGGGUUUCCGGCUGGGGAUGGGCCCGCGGCCUAUCGGCUUGUUGGUGGGGUAGUGGCCUACCAAGGCGACGACGGGUAGCCGGCCUGAGAGGGUGACCGGCCACACUGGGACUGAGACACGGCCCAGACUCCUACGGGAGGCAGCAGUGGGGAAUAUUGCGCAAUGGGCGGAAGCCUGACGCAGCGACGCCGCGUGGGGGAUGACGGCCUUCGGGUUAUAAACCUCUUUCAGCAGGGACGAAGCGCAAGUGACGGUACCUGCAGAAGAAGCACCGGCCAACUACGUG